GAUGAACGCUGGCGGCGUGCCUAAUACAUGCAAGUCGAGCGAACGGACGAGAAGCUUGCUUCUCUGAUGUUAGCGGCGGACGGGUGAGUAACACGUGGAUAACCUACCUAUAAGACUGGGAUAACUUCGGGAAACCGUAGCUAAUACCGGAUAAUAUUUUGAACCGCAUGGUUCAAAAGUGAAAGACGGUCUUGCUGUCACUUAUAGAUGGAUCCGCGCUGCAUUAGCUAGUUGGUAAGGUAACGGCUUACCAAGGCAACGAUGCAUAGCCGACCUGAGAGGGUGAUCGGCCACACUGGAACUGAGACACGGUCCAGACUCCUACGGGAGGCAGCAGUAGGGAAUCUUACGCAAUGGGCGAAAGCCUGACGGAGCAACGCCGCGUGAGUGAUGAAGGUCUUCGGAUCGUAAAACUCUGUUAUUAGGGAAGAACAUAUGUGUAAGUAACUGUGCACAUAUUGACGGUACCUAAUCAGAAAGCCACGGCUAACUACGUG
rnacentral:rRNA from 1 species